rnacentral:lncRNA from 1 species
UCUCUUCUCCAAACCCUCAAAAACUUGUCCAAAUUUUCUCAAGCCUUCCAGAAAUUCUUCAUCAAAAUGUUGAAUCCCCAAGAUAAUCCUGGAACCCCACUACCAUUGUCACCUAACACCACUUCAUCAUCCACACCUCUUAGUGAAUCCCCAAAGCCCAUAUUCUGUCGCAAAAAAAUGAUAGCAAGAAAAACUAUUGCGACUAGUCCCUUGAGGAAAGCUCUAAACAAAAGAUUGAAGGAAAGUCAAAAGAAAGAAUCUCCAGCAAAAGAAACUGAUUCCAGUUCUGAGUCUGAUGAUUACAUCUCUGCCAGUAAGGGAGAUGAACCUGGGCGUUCUGACAAUGUCACACAUAAAGAAACCCCAAAAGAGGUAAAUCCAAGUAUUGUUUCUGAGGAACCAGUGAAGGAGAUGAACCUGGGCCUUCUGAAAAUGUCACACAUAAAGAAACCCAAAAAGAGGUAAAUCUGGGUGUUGUUUCUAAUGAUGUAGGGGAAAGGGUAGAAAAUAGGUAUGUUCUAAUAGGGGCUGCAAAAGAUGUUGCUGUGGGUGAUUCCGUGAAAUUGAAGACAAUUGAGGAAGAAGGUGCUAGCUAUAUGUGGGAGUGGGGAAGAAGGGGCCUCGAAGUCAAGGGGAAGUGAGUCUGGAGAGGCUGCUAAAGGGUUAGUUGGUUUGAGCAAACAAACUGUUGAACCUGGUCUAUCUGCGGAAAAAACUCUUGUUGAGAUGAUGAAGAAGAUUUGGGCUAGUUAUGAUCCCAAGAAAUGCAAGGCUUCCUCACAAAGGACUCAUGUUGCGUCCAAACCAACCAAGAAAUCCAAACCCUAAACACCCAAGUGUGCUCCUAGGGUUUGGACAACUAGAAUCAAGGUUAGGGAGGGUGAAGCUGAGUUGCAAAAAACUUUAGAGGAGAGUAAGAGAAAAGAAAAGAAAAGGGGAAAGGGAAGCUAGGUGAAAGUUUAGAAGUUAUAGGUAAGGAGGUCGAAGAGGAGAUGGAACUGGUACAUCAAGAAAGAAACACUACUGCGGAGGUUCCACUUGCAAAAUCAAAGGAGCUUAGGACUUCCUCUAAGAAGCCCUCCAAACCAGUUCCUGCUGAAUACUCCCUUGCAAGAGAACAAGAUUAUCCUCUAAGGGAAAACAAGUCAAAGUACCCAUUAUUUGAAAAAAAAAGAAGAAGAUGAAAGUGAGUAUGAAGAAGAAUAGGACAGGUAUGCAAACUUUGACAAAAGAAAAAUAUUGAAGGGAAGAUUGCUGAAAGACCUAGAG